UGAUGAUGAUGAUGAUGAUGAGGAGGAUGAUGAAGAUGAUGAGGAUGAUAAUUAUAAUUUUGAAUCAAUCGAUGAAAAAAAAAUUGGAAAAAAUAAAGAUGAUAUUGUUAAUGAUGAUGGUUCAUAUAAUGAAAAUGACAAAAAUGACAAAAAUGAAAAAAAUGAAAAAAAUGACAAAAAUGACAAAACUGACAAGACAAAAAAAAAAAAUUAUGGUACCAUGUUUGAGGAAAUGGAAGAAGGGUAUCAUGAAGAAAAAACAUUAUGGGCCUUUUUACCACAUGGAGUAAAUAUAUGUUGCUCAAAAAAUUUUAAUCAAUUAUUCGAUUUCGAUUUAAAUGAACAAACAAGUAAAACUAACAAUGAAUACUUAUCACAUAAUAAUACUACUACAGUUACAAAUACAUUACCUUAUUACUAUUAUGAUUUAGCCAAACAAGGCAAAUCAAGAUUUAAUUUUAACGUAGAAUUAAGUUACUCCUUAUUAGAUUUGUUUGUACCUAUAUGUAAGUAUAAACAAGCUUCUUCCAAAGUAAAUCCUACAUGGGAUCUUUUAAAUAAAAAAAAAAGAGAUAUUGAUAUUUUGUAUUUAUACAAUACAACUGCAAAUAAUUACAACGAUUUUUUAAUUCAAAAAAUAAUGGAUUAUAUAUAUAACAACAAUAUAAAUGAUUUAAAAAAAAAGAUUUAUAAAUAUGAAGUAGAUUUUUAUUAUUGGAAAGUAUGGGGAUUACAAACAACACAUAAAAUUAUAAAUAACAAAAUGAAUGAAUAUAAUAAAUUAUUAAAAAGAAGUAAAGUAUGUGUUAUUAGUUCCAAAUUUUUGGGUAUGUUAAAUAAACUUGUAAUCGAUGCAAUGUUUAAUGGUUGUAUUGUUAUUACAGAUAGAAGUCAUAAUAAAGAUAUAAACAAAUAUAUAGUAUCAACACAUAUACCAUUUGAGUAUUAUGAAAUACCUAAUUUAAUUUAUAAUAUUAGUGAUAGUAUGCAUACUUUAUCUAAUAACUUAAUUACAUUAAUUAAAAAAACACUUAGUGAAAUAAAUCAAGGUAAAAAAAAAGAAACACAAAUACAAGCUUUUGAAACAGUUUUAAAUACUUAUACAUAUCAUGGUCUUAUAUUAAAUUGGAUUAUACCAACAUUAUAUUUCCAUUAUAAUAAAGACAAAUAUGAAAUGUAUAAUAAUUAUUUUAUUUUACCUCAAUAUUUCGAUGAUAUUAUUUCAAAAACAUUAAAAUCGAGUAGUGCACAAAGAGAGAAAAUUAUUGCAAAUAUAGAUAUGUCCUUGCAAGAAGAUUUUAUAAUGAAUAGUAAUGAAGUUAUUAUAUGGUUUAUAAUAUGGAUACUUAUAUUUUCGCUUAUAAUUUUUUAUUUAAUAAAAAACAGUAGUUUUACAAAUUAUUUUUUUUAAGUUUCGUAAAAUUUAUUGAUAAAAGCGGGGGUGUUGUUUACCCAUAUUCAUAUACAUCAAAAAUGGUACAUUUUUUAAUCCAUAUAACUACUGAUCAAUAUUACUUAUUUUAUAACGAUAUAAAUUAAUCAGUUAAUUGUUCUAACCUUUCUUGUCGACACUUGUUUUUUUUUUUUUUUUUUU
rnacentral:lncRNA from 1 species